rnacentral:rRNA from 1 species
GAGCUUGCUCCUUUAGGUUAGCGGCGGACGGGUGAGUAACACGUGGGCAACCUGCCCUGCAGACUGGGAUAACUUCGGGAAACCGGAGCUAAUACCGGAUAACACCGAARACCGCAUGGUUUUCGGUUGAAAGGCGACUUUUAGCUGUCACUGCAGGAUGGGCCCGCGGCGCAUUAGCUAGUUGGUGAGGUAACGGCUCACCAAGGCGACGAUGCGUAGCCGACCUGAGAGGGUGACCGGCCACACUGGGACUGAGACACGGCCCAGACUCCUACGGGAGGCAGCAGUAGGGAAUCUUCCGCAAUGGACGAAAGUCUGACGGAGCAACGCCGCGUGAGCGAAGAAGGUCUUCGGAUCGUAAAGCUCUGUUGUCAGGGAAGAACAAGUGCCGUUCGAACAGGGCGGUACCUUGACGGUACCUGACGAGGAAGCCACGGCUAACUACGUGCCAGCAGCCGCGGUAAUACGUAGGUGGCAAGCGUUGUCCGGAAUUAUUGGGCGUAAAGCGCGCGCAGGCGGUUCCUUAAGUCUGAUGUGAAAUCUCGCGGCUCAACCGCGAGCGGCCAUUG